rnacentral:misc_RNA from 1 species
AACGCACCUUGCGCUCCUUGGUAUUCCGAGGAGCAUGCCUGUUUGAGUGUCAUGAAAUUCUCAACCUCUCUAGUUUUUUUUAACUGGUUAGGCUUGGACCAUGGAAGUUGCUGGUUCUCUAUAUGAAACAGCUCUUCUCAAAUAUAUUAGCAAAAGACUGCUGCUGACCAACUCUGGUAUGAUAAUUAUCUAUAUCACCGCUGAUCAGUUCCCUUUAUCGGGAGGUCUUGCUUCUAAUCGUCUUUUAGACAACUUGAUAACUUUGACCUCAAAUCAGGUAGGACUACCCGCUGAACUUAA